rnacentral:miRNA from 1 species
UGGUGGCAUCACUGGUACUGAUGU